CCAGGGUGUCCCCAAAGUGUCCCCAGGGUGUCCCCAGUGUCCCCAGGGUGUCCCCAGAGUGUCCCCAGAGUGUCCCCAGAGUGUCCCCAGCGUGUCCCCAGGGUGUCCCCAGUGUCCCCAGGGUGUCCCCAGAGUGUCCCCAGGGUGUCCCCAGUGUCCCCAGAGUGUCCCCAGAGUGUCCCCAGGGUGUCCCCAGGGUGUCCCCAGUGUCCCCAGAGUGUCCCCAGCGUGUCCCCAGAGUGUCCCCAGUGUCCCCAGUGUCCCCAGUGUCCCCAGGGUGUCCCCAGUGUCCCCAGAGUUGUCCCAGCGUGUCCCCAGCGUGUCCCCAGGGUGUCCCCAGGGUGUCCCCAG